AAAGUCAACUUUAAGCGCACAGUAUUGAACAGCACCACAUCCUUUAGCAGCAGGUUCUGAAUAGUUCAAAGAGGCAAAGAGGCGCAGAAGUUACUAGGAAGAGAUGAAAGCGGUGGAAAUCACGAGACUCGGCGGACCAGAGGUUCUCCAGCUCCGGGAGGUGGAUGAACUGGCCAUAGCCGACGACGAGGUCCUCAUCAUUCGUCAAGGUGGAUGCCGCCGGCGUGAACAACGCCGACGGAUCUCAUAGGCAAGUAUCCACCGCCCAAAGGAGCCAGCCUCUUCCCCGGACUCGAAUGUUCCGGUACGUCGGCAAAUUCGUCGACCUUGGAAUCUCGGCGAUCAGCUGAUGAACUAAGAAACAGAAGCGCAGAACAUAAAGCUGCCAUAGUUGCUGAGGCGGAGAGGCAUAUUUGGCCAGCCAUUGAAGCAGCAGAAGCUCAUAGCAUCAUAGAAAGGAGUAUUCAUAUCGGUAAAAUAUUCUAGUUCCAUGAAUAGAAUCAAAAGGAAAACCUUCAAAAUAUUUCGACAAAAUAAUGUCUUCCUUCUUACAUAAUGAAUAUUUAGUUACUAAUGCUAUCGAGAUUCUCACUUGAAAAGCCAAAGGUUUUGUGCUGCAGAAAGCUCUUCGAAUUCUAUCUAAUUCUCUCACCUGAACAGGCACUCGAUGUGGUGAUUAGAAAGUACUACAUUUAAGUACCAACUGCUGCACUGAGGGUAAUCUGCCCUUCCAAACUUUUAGUCUUCAUUGAAACAAUUUGUCUGUGGAGAAAUUUCAAUCAAAUUUUCUCCACUCUUUAGG